rnacentral:rRNA from 1 species
UUGCGCUAUCAGAUGAGCCUAGGUCGGAUUAGCUAGUUGGUGAGGUAAUGGCUCACCAAGGCGACGAUCCGUAACUGGUCUGAGAGGAUGAUCAGUCACACUGGAACUGAGACACGGUCCAGACUCCUACGGGAGGCAGCAGUGGGGAAUAUUGGACAAUGGGCGAAAGCCUGAUCCAGCCAUGCCGCGUGUGUGAAGAAGGUCUUCGGAUUGUAAAGCACUUUAAGUUGGGAGGAAGGGUUGUAGAUUAAUACUCUGCAAUUUUGACGUUACCGACAGAAUAAGCACCGGCUAACUCUGUGCCAGCAGCCGCGGUAAUACAGAGGGUGCAAGCGUUAAUCGGAAUUACUGGGCGUAAAGCGCGCGUAGGUGGUUUGUUAAGUUGGAUGUGAAAUCCCCGGGCUCAACCUGGGAACUGCAUUCAAAACUGACUGACUAGAGUAUGGUAGAGGGUGGUGGAAUUUCCUGUGUAGCGGUGAAAUGCGUAGAUAUAGGAAGGAACACCAGUGGCGAAGGCGACCACCUGGACUAAUACUGACACUGA